rnacentral:tRNA from 1 species
CGAAGUAUAGCAUAUACAAUGCUUUUUACUUAAACUAAAAAUAAGACACUAUCUACUUCGC